GCGUGUCGCGUCGCGUACUACGUCGUAGUAAAACGGGAAUGGCUUCGAGGAGCCAGAUCGGCGAAAACAAAAGGGCCGAUUGAUAGCCCGGCCGUGGCGCGGGGUAACGGAGCCGGGUGUACGGUUUGCACCUGUCGACAGGUGGUUAACGAACAGAUGCUCCGCGUACGCUCCGAUCGUAAAUGCACGAAUGAUUCUUGCCUCGUCGAGAGCAACCGGUCCUUCGCGUUACGUGAAAAACAGACUCGAUUAUUUUCCACCUCGCUCCUCUGUCGCGGAUGUUUUUUUUUUUUUUUAGCUAAUUGGGUACCAGCAGCUUGGAGCAAUUGGUAUCGCGCGAUUUUUGCGCACCGAUCUAUCUAUUUAUAUGUUUUUUUUUAUCUUGCACAUAUGAGGAUAAAAAAUAAUAAUAAUAGAGACGAAUGACUUCAAAUGAGAUGCAAAUGGAAUGUAAUGAUGUAAGCAAAGUGGUCUUGGAGUUUUCUCCGACCAGAGGUCACGAUAGGCGCACAUCGCCUUUACACUCACAAAGCUUUUAAAGCUACCAAACCUUUGAAAAUUCUUCUUUUCUUUCUCCAAACUACGAAUAGUAUGUUUACGUAGGCUAGAAAUCACAAAUUCAUCACACAACAGCGAUAUAUACCAACGCGGAUCCCCACAAUUCAAACAGAGAAUUUUCCUUCCCCCAUAUGGGUUGGUUGUGGUGAAAAAACAUCCGCUGGUGAUGGAAAAGCAGAAACAGCUCGACAUCUCCGAGUUAUUCGCUGACAAAGUGAUGAUUGUUCCAAAACAAGUAAACGUUACCACGCACAAAUGGUUCAUAUCAGAUUAUUCAGCAAAGAAAUACAAUAGCUGGGCAUUAAGAAUUUAAAUGCCGAUUGUAGUUGUAAUGUCAAGUCGUAAAUAUAAUAAAGUAAUACA